rnacentral:rRNA from 1 species
CCUACGGGUGGCAGCAGUGGGGAAUAUUGCACAAUGGGGGAAACCCUGAUGCAGCGACGCCGCGUGAGCGAAGCAGUAUUUCGGUAUGUAAAGCUCUAUCAGCAGGGAAGAUCAUUACGGUACCUGACUAAUAACCCCCGGCUAACUACGUGCCAGCAGCCGCGGUCAUACGUAGGGGGCAAGCGUUAACCGGUUGUACUGGGUGUAACGGGAGCGUAGGUGGCAGGGCAAGUCAGCUGUGAAAACCCGGGGAUCAACCCCGGGAGUGCAUUUGAGACUGGCAAGCUGGAGUGCAGGAGAGGUAAGCGGAAUUCCUAGUGAAGCGGUGAAAUGCAUAGAUAUUAGGAGGAACACCAGUGGCGAAGGAGGCUUACUGGACUGUAACUGACACUGAGGCUCGAAAGCGUGGGGAGCAAACAGGAUUAGAUACCCGAGUAGUC